rnacentral:misc_RNA from 1 species
AAAACAAACUUGGAGCGCAAAAUAGAAGAAUUGAACGAGAAAUUUGAUCGACUAGAUCAAGGGAACCGGCGCAUGUGUCUACGAAUUUUUAAUCUAAAGGAAAAGGAGAAAGAAGACACCAGAAACGAAAUAAUUAACCUAAUAAAUUCUAAAAUGGGUUUAAAUUUAAAAUAUGAAGAUAUUAACUUAUGUUAUCGAAUUGGUAAACAAAACAAGGAUAAAGCUAGGGCUGUGUAUCUUAAAUUAAAUACAAUCGAGAAUAAGCAAACAGUCUACGCUAAGAAGAAGCUACUAAAGGGUACUGGGUUAGUUAUUAAGGAAGAUCUCACUAACUUAAAAUUGGAAUUGGUAAAUCAGCUAACCAGUCUUGUGGGUUUAAAAAAUGUGUGGACUGACAAUGGUAAAAUCUACGUCUGUCGAAACGAAGAUCAAUGGAAACCUGGUAAAACAAUCAGUUAAAUCAUUUGUGCUGUCCAAAAAAUACACACGCAUUGUUUUAAAGGCUUCGGUCUUUAAUAUAAUAUGUCGAAGAUUGCCUAUCAAUAAAGACGAACUUGAUUGCAAAGAAUAUAAUGGAGCAAGCUUUUUUAUUCUUAAGGGUAUGAAAAAAAAUAAAAACAUUGAAAACCCAUUUAUAGAAACAUUCUUAGCCUGGUUAAAAGGAAUAAAAGACGCAAUUGAUAAGAAUUAUCUAAAGUCCGUUUAUAUUCUACUAAAAGAAUCCGAGGGCAAUGUAGUUGAAAGCUAUAGUUUUAAUUUAAAAUAUAAUACGGAUCCAAAUUUUUCUAAUAAGAAUGAGGGUGGUAAGACUCCCGAAGAUGUUAAAGGUGCCACCACAACAAUGUUUAAUUCAAUAUCAGCAUUGGAAAACAUUCCAAAACUCAGUCCUGAAAUUACAUUGGAUAUUGAAUUUAUGUACAACGAUGAUUGUCCCAUGGAUUACGAACCACCUGGUUUUGUAUCUUCUGUGCAACCAAUGUGUCUACAAAUUAAGACUCCAACAAGACUAGGAAAAGUGAAUACUGGUUUUCACAGCGUAAUGGCAAGAUCUUCCAAGUUCCAAAAGAUUAUUGCGUCUGAAGAGGAUCAAAGUAAGGUUCAAGAAGACCAAAAUAUUCUAGACGAUUUAAAUACAGAUAAAGGGAAUGACAUUAUUGAAGAGGAUUUUGAAGAAGACCAAAAUUUUCAAGACGAUUUAAAUACAUAUGAAGGGAAUGACAUUAUUGAAGAGGAUUACAAUAAUCUACCAGACCACGAGAUGAUUGACGUUAUAUCAAUUGGUGAUCAAAGUGUAGCAUCCGAGGGUAGCAGCAGAUUCCCCAAAGCAAUUAUUGAUGAAAUGGACCAUGAGGAUGAUCCCAAUACUUAUUUAGAUGACUCAAUGGGCGAAGAAGUACUUGCAGGAUUAUUGGAUAAAACACGUGCUGUUAAUACUAGCAAUGUAACUAUACCUGGGCCCGCCCGGUCUAUUUCGGUGAAUACUGUUUUAUUCCAAACAUUUCAGACCAGGACAUGUCCACUCCAAAUAUUUUUACUGAAGAAGAGGAGGACGAUGUUUAUUUACGUAGAACAAUGAACAUUUUUACUUUAACAGAAAAAAUUGGUGCAUUACCUAUGGAAUUGUUAAACAGCAUGGAGAAAAAAGACAAGAAAACCUUUGUUGAUGAAAUAAAGAAAUUCAAAAUUUAUCGACCAGAUCCUGCCGAUCCUGAAAAUCUUCAAAAAGGGUUUAUCGAUAUGGAAAAACUUAGUACGUUCAAAAAUGCACUUAAGUCAUAUUCAAGAUAACUGAAUGAACUUAAUUUAUAUUCAAUAUAAUAAUAUAGUUUAAUAAUUCUGUACAUCUAGGUAUCGUUAAGUUGUCGUAUAGGAGUAAAAUUAUUAAUAUUAUUAAAAAAUAAAAA